rnacentral:rRNA from 1 species
GUGGGGAAUAUUGCGCAAUGGGCGAAAGCCUGACGCAGCGACGCCGCGUGAGGGAUGAAGGUUUUCGGAUCGUAAACCUCUGUCAGAAGGGAAGAAACUACGUUGUGCUAAUCAGCAGCGUACUGACGGUACCUUCAAAGGAAGCACCGGCUAACUCCGUGCCAGCAGCCGCGGUAAUACGGAGGGUGCAAGCGUUAAUCGGAAUUACUGGGCGUAAAGCGCACGUAGGCUGUAGUGUAAGUCAGGGGUGAAAUCCCACGGCUCAACCGUGGAACUGCCUUUGAUACUGCACAACGUGAAUCCGGGAGAGGGUGGCGGAAUUCCAGGUGUAGGAGUGAAAUCCGUAGAUAUCCGGAGGAACACCGGUGGCGAAGGCGGCCACCUGGACAGGUACUGACGCUGAGGCGCGAAAGCGUGGGGAGCAAACAGGAUUAGAAACCCUGGUAGUCC